AACGAACGCUGGCGGCAUGCCUAACACAUGCAAGUCGAACGAGACCUUCGGGUCUAGUGGCGCACGGGUGCGUAACGCGUGGGAACCUGCCCUUAGGUUCGGAAUAACUCCCCGAAAGGGGUGCUAAUACCGGAUAAUGUCUUCGGACCAAAGAUUUAUCGCCUUUGGAUGGGCCCGCGUUGGAUUAGCUAGUUGGUAGGGUAAAAGCCUACCAAGGCGACGAUCCAUAGCUGGUCUGAGAGGAUGAUCAGCCACACUGGGACUGAGACACGGCCCAGACUCCUACGGGAGGCAGCAGUGGGGAAUAUUGGACAAUGGGCGAAAGCCUGAUCCAGCACUGCCGCGUGAGUGAUGAAGGCCUUAGGGUUGUAAAGCUCUUUUACCCGGGAUGAUAAUGACAGUACCGGGAGAAUAAGCUCCGGCUAACUCCGUG
rnacentral:rRNA from 1 species